rnacentral:rRNA from 1 species
AUUGAACGCUGGCGGCAUGCUUUACACAUGCAAGUCGAACGGCAGCACGGGUGCUUGCACCUGGUGGCGAGUGGCGGACGGGUGAGUAAUACAUCGGAACGUAUCCAGAAGAGGGGGAUAACGCAUCGAAAGAUGUGCUAAUACCGCAUAUUCUCUGAGGAGGAAAGCAGGGGAUCGAAAGACCUUGCGCUUUGGGAGCGGCCGAUGUCUGAUUAGCUAGUUGGUGGGUAAAGGCCUACCAAGGCGACGAUCAGUAGUUGGUCUGAGAGGACGACCAGCCACACUGGGACUGAGACAGGCCCAGACUCCUACGGGAGGCAGCAGUGGGGAAUUUUGGACAAUGGCGGCAAGCCUGAUCCAGCAAUGCCGCGUGAGUGAACGAAGGCCUCGUGUAGUAG